rnacentral:rRNA from 1 species
GAUGAACGCUGGCGGCGUGCCUAAUACAUGCAAGUCGAGCGAACACACGAGGAACUUUCCCCUCUGACGUUCGCGGCGGACGGGGGUGUAAAACGUGGGUAACACAGCUAUAAGACUGGGGUAACUUCGUGAAAACGGAGCCUAAAACGGCAUAUAUAUUCAACCCCAAGGAUCAAUAGUUACGGACGGCUUUGCUGUCGCUUUUAGCUGGAUCCGCGCCGGAUUAGCUAGUUGGUAAGGUAACGGCUUACCAAGGCGACGAUGCCUAGCAGACCUGAGAGGAUGACCGGCCACACUGGAACUGAGACACGGUCCAGACUCCUACGGGAGGCAGCAGUAGGGAAUCUUCCGCAAUGGGCGAAAGCCUGACGGAGCAACGCCGCGUGUAUGAUGAAGGUCUUCGGAUCGUAAAGCUCUGUUAGUAGGGAGGAACAAAGGUGUAAGUAACUAUGCACUUCUUGACGUUACCUAAUCAGAAAGCCACGGCUAACUCCGUG